rnacentral:miRNA from 1 species
AUGAACAUGAUGUAAAUGUAAAUGUGCACGUGUUCAUCAAGAAAGUAAAUGACAUUUACUUUCACGAUGAACACGUGCACAUUUACAUUUACAUCGUGUUCAU